rnacentral:rRNA from 1 species
GCCCUUAAAUUUCGGUGUAGACAACUGUUUAUCUACUGGAACUCAAUGUUGAACCUCGGUUUAACUACAGUAAUUAAACAAGUUGAGACUAUCCGACCUCGUCCGUGGGUCAAACACACUUCUUCAUAGUGAAGUAUUAAGCCUUACUCUUUUACCGGUCGACGUUUUGGACGGCCGCAACACCGGACUACCAAGUUUAUAAACUCUGUUCCACGGGCCGCACGUCAGUACCAAGACGCAAUGGGGUACUACUUAGACUUCUAACCCUGAUACGGGUCUAACUACUAGGUGCUGUAAACGACGUACCGUAUCAUGUACUUUUACCCAAACCGGUAGAACAUGCUUAAUUGCCGGUACUUCCACCAAGGUCGGAGAACUGUCCUAUGGUUGACUACCUGAAAACCCUAGCAGAAACGUGUAUGGAUUCUCAGUCCAUAUUUUCCGUUUAAAUGUGUAAAUACAACUCAUCCUUGUCGGAUGGAAAGACAUUAAACAACCCUUUACCAUGAUUGUAUUCUCAUGUACUAAUUAAAGUCUUUCCAAAGUCACAACCUACAGAGUUUCUUCAAACUUCAACUGAUGGCCCAAGAUGUACGGUAACGGUGACCGACAAGAACCAUACCCGUCACCCCUAAGUUUGAGCCUUCACCCUCGAAGCCUUAAUGUAGACUUUGGAUGUCGUUUCGGUAACUUUUGGAGAGGAGUCACAGUGAGAGAGUGAAGAAAGGGGUGAGGGCUAUAGGAGCUUUGGUUGACGUCCUAUGGUAACGAAAGAUAGUUAGCGAGAGUUUCGCGGGAGAGUGGUGUAAGACACUAGACAAGGAGAUACAGAACCCCGAACGACGACCGUUUUCACACGUAUGGGUGGAACACUGUUACGUGUUCUCCCUCGAUCGUAUACUACGGUUAAAGUUUCUCCUUUUGACCCGACUACUCUUUUAUUUCGUUCGCUACCUACAACGCGACUUUCAAGAGGCACGACAUCUAUCCACCCACCGAUACGCUUGGGAUUUCCGUCGAUGUCGAGUAGGUUAACCAAGUGGUGUCGACCAGCUAAUGACGGAGUUCUGGUAACCACCAUGUUCUUGGAUACUACCCUACCAACAACAUCAAGCUACGUUGUCACUCUGUUUGUGUUAUCUCAUGUCCGAGUGUCUACUUUAGAACGGUGGUUUCUUACGCUCGUACGGUUGAGCCCUAGUGGAAAAGGCACUGUAGUUCAAGGAGAUACUGCGCGAGGAGUUGGGAGUAUGUUACGGUGGAAUAUUCGGUCUUGUAUAAGUACUUGUACGGUUAUCUAGACGCUACCAGGAAAACCUGACGUUCGUCAAGUAGUUCGUAAUACUGUACCUUCUCCUAAAGAACGGAGUUUUGGUUAGACACGACGUGUAGACCACGGUUCACCUCGAUAACCUAGUCCAACCACUAGGUGGGUCGGAGGGUCGUCUUGAAAAUUGUGAUUGCGUUUGCCGAUGACAACGACUAGACUUCUACCUCCGACACUCUUGUAAGGUUUCAUAGAUGAACUACGAUGUUUCGAAACAUCGUUUGGUCGAAGAACUAACAGGUUGACGUCUACUGUGUUGAGUUCAGUUCGAGAAUAAACCUCGUUUUCCCUGACAGUCAUAGGUUCCGUUCACGCAGCCUCCACUCGCGUCCCAACGUUAAAUAGCCUACCUCUCCCCACAUCUGGUUACCUGUCAAUUAACAAGUACACCUCGCUUCCUACUACUACCACUCUCCUACGAUAGAACACUGAGUACGGUACACACCGUCGUGUGAUCCACACAACCUUAAUCACUAAAACAAGUCCACGGCUUCUCUAAACAUACACGUAGAACAUUUAAUGAGGUGUUCAGAUUCUACAUAUCAUCAAAGGGAUUGUUUUCUACAUUCUGACCGAGAAAAUCAGUACGGUCAUCACCCAACACCUCCGGGUUGUAGUCAAUUGUACAUGUAUAGCUGUUGUUACUCAAGGAUUAUACUGUCUACGUUCAAAACGUGCUGAUGAUACAUGACUUUAUAUAAACUACAGACCAAACAUACUCCAAUUAGUAAGUCCCAAGUGUUUACUCCUUUGAAUGUUCGUACUUCAAAAUCACACUAUAAGGUCGUCUGGUACUCGUACCAAGUCACUGAACGAAACACGAGACCGGUGGUUUUAGAAGAUUUACCGUGACUUUUUAUUCGUCUUUGACAAAAUUUUGGAUUCUAAUUCACAAAGAAGUCAAUUUUUUCUCUUUUGUUUCUGUCGUACUUACUCAUAGAUCCACAAUGUGUUAUGACUUCUAGAUCUUGCGAAAAUACGAAAGAAAAGUUUUUCUUCUUUAUGGAGUCUACUUGGAGAUGAUACUAGGGUUUACGUUAUACCUUUUUUGUUCUACUUACCUAUAUAUCUUAAUGUGUUAUGACGUCAAUGUUCAAGUCGUCAUUACUUAUACAUACAAACGUGUCAACAUAUGUAACAACACUAUAAUAUUCGAUAUUUAGAAAAUAGUGUGCCCUGUUUUCUCUUCCUCACAUAGGUCAGGUCUGAGGACAAAGUUUUGUUCUCUUUUAUUUUAGAGUAGUCAUGCAGUUACAACAAAGUUUUGUCCUCACAUAUGUCACUGAACUGUAAUUAUGUAACUAUUUUUUCUGUGUUUCUUAUCACUUUCUCGUACGAUGCUGGUUUAAGGUUCAACGUCGUUGUGAAAGAUAUCGGAUUGUUGUUCGUUUUAUUAUUCCACCUAUGACCCCUGUUAAGAAUUUAUAUGUCAAACGCAGUACUAAAUUAUAAAUAUUCAUACACGAAUAUUGUCACUUUAGGUCAUUAUUCAGUGACAUACGAUGACGAUUCGAGGUGAAUAAUCUCAAGACCCGUAUUGGAUUUAUUUUAUACUACCCGCACGUAUCGUGGUCAGGUUCCCUUCGGAGGAACUGAGAUCACUACGACUUUUUUGGCUAGACGUGUUGUCACUUAUAUUUUUUUUCCCGUUGGACCACGUACAUCGAGGGCGAAUGCGUCCCAGGUCCCUUCCCAGGCUGGUGAAACCCAGAUAUCAUGCGUCGGAAAGGGAUGUAAAGACAUUCUCCGACAAAGGUCCUGAACUUGGGUACUGGAGUACCAGUGUUGUCACUUAUAGUAUACGUAUUUAAUGGAUUGGUUUUAUUGUUAUUUUUUUCUAUAGCUUGGGAUGUGUAAAACCAGGUAGUCUUUGUCAGGUCCUUAACAACCGAACUACCACUGCUUGUAAUGUGUGAUUAUUUUUAUUCUUUAAUACGUUUAUAAGGCUCCAAGCAAACCGUAGUUUUGUCUUUAUGGGUUAUACUCAACCUUUGGUAAAAAAAGUGUGUACCUUUCUUUGUUCCGUUCACUUCUUUGUUAUGGUAAGUAUUAACGUUCUACCUAUCAACCUCACAUCGUUUAAUUCCCGUUCGAGUCCUACGAUUUAAGAUGAGGGAGGCAAGGAUUUAUGUUCAGAAAAAUCUCUAAAGUGAUACCUGAUGUAUACCUCGUUUUACUCACUUAGGUGUGAGAUUUUAUACAGAUAUAUGUAGGCGUACAUUAAACAUCACCUUAGAGAUUUUCCUGAACAUAAAUCCUUGCCUCCCUCAUCUUUGGUUU